rnacentral:lncRNA from 1 species
GGAGCUAGGGUUAGGGUUAGGGUUAGGGUUGGAGUUAGGGUUGGUGUUGGAGCUAGGGUUAGGGUUGGGCUUUGAGCUAGGACUUUUCUGAGUGCAAUGAACCAACUCCCGAGUCUCUAGGACGUUCCCUAAAAAAAUUUGAUUUUUUCCCAUAGGAAUGCAUGGGUUAGGGUUAGGGUUAGGGUUAGGGUUGGAGCUAGGGUUAGGGUUAGGGUUAGGGUUGGAGUUAGGGUUAGUGUUGGAGCUAGGGUUAGGGUUGGGCUUGGAGCUAGGAUUUUUCUGAGUGCAAUGAACCAACUCCCGAGUCUCUAGGACGUUCCAAAAAAAAUUUGAUUUUUUCCCAUAGGAAUGCAUGGGUUAGGGUUAUGGUUAGGGUUAGGGUUGGAGCUAGGGUUAGGGUUAGGGUUAGGGUUGGAGUUAGGGUUAGUGUUGGCGCUAGGGUUAGGGUUGGGCUUGGAGCUAGGAUUUUUCUGAGUGCAAUGAACCAACUCCCGAGUCUCUAGGACGUUCCUAAAAAAAUUUGAUUUUUUCCCAUAGGAAUGCAUGGGUUAGGGUUAGGGUUAGGGUUGGAGCUAGGGUUAGGGUUAGGGUUAGGGUUGGAGAUAGGGUUAGUGUUGGAGCUAGGGUUAGGGUUGGGCUUGGAGCUAGGAUUUUUCUGAGUGCAAUGAACCAACUCCCGAGUCUCUAGGACGUUCCUAAAAAAAUUUGAUUUUUUCCCAUAGGAAUGCAUGGGUCAGGGUUAGGGUUAGGGUUGGAGCUAGGGUUAGGGUUAGGGUUAGGGUUGGAGUUAGGGUUAGUGUUGGAGCUAGGGUUAGGGUUGGGCUUGGAGCUAGGAUUUUUCUGAGUGCACUGAACCAACUCCCGAGUCUCUAGGACAUUCCUAAAAAAAUUUGAUUUUUUCCCAUAGGAAUGCAUGGGUUAGGGUUAGGGUUAGGGUUGGAGCUAGGGUUAGGGUUAGGGUUAGGGUUGGAGUUAGGGUUAGUGUUGGAGCUAGGGUUAGGGUUGGGCUUGGAGCUAGGAUUUUUCUGAGUGCACUGAACCAACUCCCGAGUCUCUAGGACAUUCCUAAAAAAAUUAGAUUUUUUCCCAUAGGAAUGCAUGGGUUAGGGUUAUGGUUAGGGUUAGGGUUGGAGCUAGGGUUAGGGUUAGGGUUAGGGUUGGAGUUAGGGUUGGUGUUGGAGCUAGGGUUAGGGUUGGGCUUUGAGCUAGGACUUUUCUGAGUGCAAUGAACCAACUCCCGAGUCUCUAGGACGUUCCCUAAAAAAAUUUGAUUUUUUCCCAUAGGAAUGCAUGGGUUAGGGUUAGGGUUAGGGUUAGGGUUGGAGCUAGGGUUAGGGUUAGGGUUAGGGUUAGAGUUAGGGUUAGUGUUGGAGCUAGGGUUAGGGUUGGGCUUGGAGCUAGGAUUUUUCUGAGUGCACUGAACCAACUCCCGAGUCUCUAGGACAUUCCUAAAAAAAAUUGACUUUUUCCCAUAGGAAUGCAUGGGUUAGGGUUAGGGUUAGGGUUAGGGUUGGAGCUAGGGUUAGGGUUAGGGUUAGGGUUGGAGUUAGGGUUAGUGUUGGAGCUAGGGUUAGGGUUGGGCUUGGAGCUAGGACUUUUCUGAGUGCAAUGAACCAACUCCCGAGUCUCUAGGACGUUCCCUAAAAAAAUUUGAUUUUUUCCCAUAGGAAUGCAUGGGUUAGGGUUAGGUGUGGGGUUGGAGCUAGGGUUAGGGUUAGGGUUAGGGUUGGAGUUAGGGUUAGUGUUGGAGCUAGGGUUAGGUUUGGGCUUGGAGCUAGGAUUUUUCUGAGUGCAAUGAACCAACUCCCGAGUCUCUAGGACGUUCCUAAAAAAUUUUGAUUUUUUCCCAUAGGAAUGCAUGGGUUAGGGUUAGGGUUAGGGUUGGAGCUAGGGUUAGGGUUAGGGUUAGGGUUGGAGUUAGGGUUAGUGUUGGAGCUAGGGUUAGGGUUGGGCUUGGAGCUAGGAUUUUUCUGAGUGCAAUGAACCAACUCCCGAGUCUCUAGGAAGUUCCUAAAAAAAUUUGAUUUUUUCCCAUAGGAAUGCAUGGGUUAGGGUUAGGGUUAGGGUUGGAGCUAGGGUUAGGGUUAGGGUUAGGGUUGGAGUUAGGGUUAGUGUUGGAGCGAGGGUUAGGGUUGGGCUUGGAGCUAGGAUUUUUCUGAGUGCAAUGAACCAACUCCCGAGUCUCUAGGACGUUCCUAAAAAAAUUUGAUUUUUUCCCAUAGGAAUGCAUGGGUUAGGGUUAGGGUUAGGGUUGGAGCUAGGGUUAGGGUUAGGGUUAGGGUUGGAGUUAGGGUUAGUGUUGGAGCUAGGGUUAGGGUUGGGCUUGGAGCUAGGAUUUUUCUGAGUGCAAUGAACCAACUCCCGAGUCUCUAGGACGUUCCUAAAAAAAUUUGAUUUUUUCCCAUAGGAAUGCAUGGGUUAGGGUUAGGGUUAGGGUUGGAGCUAGGGUUAGGGUUAGGGUUAGGGUUGGAGUUAGGGUUAGUGUUAGAGCUAGGGUAAGGUUUGGGCUUGGAGCUAGGAUUUUUCUGAGUGCAAUGAACCAACUCCCGAGUCUCUAGGACGUUCCUAAAAAAAUUUGAUUUUUUUCCAUAGGAAUGCAUGGGUUAGGGUUAUGGUUAGGGUUAGGGUUGGAGCUAGGGUUAGGGUUAGGGUUAGGGUUGGAGUUAGGGUUAGUGUUGGAGCUAGGGUUAGGGUUGGGCUUGGAGCUAGGAUUUAUCUGAGUGCAAUGAACCAACUCCCGAGUCUCUAGGACGUUCCUAAAAAAAUUUGAUUUUUUCCCAUAGGAAUGCAUGGGUUAGGGUUAGGGUUAGGGUUGGAGCUAGGGUUAGGGUUAGGGUUAGGGUUGCAGUUAGGGUUAGUGUUGGAGCUAGGGUAAGGUUUGGGCUUGGAGCUAGGAUUUUUCUGAGUGCAAUGAACCAACUCCCGAGUCUCUAGGACGUUCCUAAAAAAAUUUGAUUUUUUUCCAUAGGAAUGCAUGGGUUAGGGUUAGGGUUGGAGCUAGUGUUAGGGUUAGGGUUGGAGCUAGGGUUAGGGUUAGGGUUAGGGUUGGAGUUAGGGUUAGUGUUGGAGCUAGGGUUAGGGUUGGGCUUGGAGCUAGGAUUUUUCUGAGUGCAAUGAACCAACUCCCGAGGCUCUUGGACGUUCCUAAAAAAAUUAGAUUUUUUCCCAUAGGAAUGCAUGGGUUAGGGUUAGGGUUAGGGUUGGAGCUAGGGUUAGGGUUAGGGUUAGGGUUGGAGUUAGGGUUAGUGUUGGAGCUAGGGUUAGGGUUGGGCUUGGAGCUAGGAUUUUUCUGAGUGCAAUGAACCAACUCCCGAGUCUCUAGGACGUUCCUAAAAAAAUUUGAUUUUUUCCCAUAGGAAUGCAUGGGUUAGGGUUAGGGUUAGGGUUGGAGCUAGGGUUAGGGUUAGGGUUAGGGUUGGAGUUAAGGUUAGUGUUGGAGCUAGGGUUAGGGUUGGGCUUGGAGCUAGGAUUUUUCUGAGUGCAGUGAACCAACUCCCGAGUCUCUAGGACGUUCCUAAAAAAAUUUGAUUUUUUCCCAUAGGAAUGCAUGGGUUAGGGUUAUGGUUAGGGUUAGGGUUGGAGCUAGGGUUAGGGUUAGGGUUAGGGUUGGAGUUAGGGUUAGUGUUGGAGCUAGGGUUAGGGUUGGGCUUGGAGCUAGGAUUUUUCUGAGUGCAAUGAACCAACUCCCGAGUCUCUAGGACGUUCCUAAAAAAAUUUGAUUUUUUCCCAUAGGAAUGCAUGGGUUAGGGUUAGGGUUAGGGUUGGAGCUAGGGUUAGGGUUAGGGUUGGAGUUAGGGUUAGUGUUGGAGCUAGGGUUAGGGUUGGGCUUGGAGCUAGGAUUUUUCUGAGUGCACUGAACCAACUCCCGAGUCUCUAGGACAUUCCUAAAAAAAUUUGAUUUUUUCCCAUAGGAAUGCAUGGGUUAGGGUUAUGGUUAGGGUUAGGGUUGGAGCUAGGGUUAGGGUUAGGGUUAGGGUUGGAGUUAGGGUUAGUGUUGGAGCUAGGGUUAGGGUUGGGCUUGGAGCUAGGAUUUUUCUGAGUGCAAUGAACCAACUCCCGAGUCUCUAGGACGUUCCUAAAAAAAUUUGAUUUUUUCCCAUAGGAAUGCAUGGGUUAGGGUUAGGGUUAGGGUUGGAGCUAGGGUUAGGGUUAGGGUUAGGGUUGGAGUUAGGGUUAGUGUUAGAGCUAGGGUAAGGUUUGGGCUUGGAGCUAGGAUUUUUCUGAGUGCAAUGAACCAACUCCCGAGUCUCUAGGACGUUCCUAAAAAAAUUUGAUUUUUUCCCAUAGGAAUGCAUGGGUUAGGGUUAGGGUUAGGGUUGGAGCUAGGGUUAGGGUUAGGGUUAGGGUUGCAGUUAGGGUUAGUGUUGGAGCUAGGGUAAGGUUUGGGCUUGGAGCUAGGAUUUUUCUGAGUGCAAUGAACCAACUCCCGAGUCUCUAGGACGUUCCUAAAAAAAUUUGAUUUUUUUCCCAUAGGAAUGCAUGGGUUAGGGUUAUGGUUAGGGUUAGGGUUGGAGCUAGGGUUAGGGUUAGGGUUAGGGUUGGAGUUAGGGUUAGUGUUGGAGCUAGGGUUAGGGUUGGGCUUGGAGCUAGGAUUUAUCUGAGUGCAAUGAACCAACCCCCGAGUCUCUAGGACGUUCCUAAAAAAAUUUGAUUUUUUCCCAUAGGAAUGCAUGGGUUAGGGUUAUGGUUAGCGUUAGGGUUGGAGCUAGGGUUAGGGUUAGGGUUAGGGUUGGAGUUAGGGUUAGUGUUGGAGCUAGGGUUAGGGUUGGGCUUGGAGCUAGGAUUUUUCUGAGUGCACUGAACCAACUCCCGAGUCUCUAGGACGUUCCUAAAAAAAUUUGAUUUUUUCCCAUAGGAAUGCAUGGGUCAGGGUUAGGGUUAGGGUUGGAGCUAGGGUUAGGGUUAGGGUUAGGGUUGGAGUUAGGGUUAGUGUUGGAGCUAGGGUUAGGGUUGGGCUUGGAGCUAGGAUUUUUCUGAGUGCAAUGAACCAACUCCCGAGUCUCUAGGACGUUCCUAAAAAAAUUUGAUUUUUUCCCAUAGGAAUGCAUGGGUUAGGGUUAGGGUUAGGGUUAGGGUUGGAGCUAGGGUUAGGGUUAGGGUUAGGGUUGGAGUUAGGGUUAGUGUUGGAGCUAGGGUUAGGGUUGGGCUUGGAGCUAGGAUUUUUCUGAGUGCAAUGAACCAACUCCCGAGUCUCUAGGACGUUCCUAAAAAAAUUUGAUUUUUUCCCAUAGGAAUGCAUGGGUUAGGGUUAGGGUUAGGGUUGGAGCUAGGGUUAGGGUUAGGGUUAGGGUUGGAGUUAGGGUUAGUGUUGGAGCUAGGGUUAGGGUUGGGCUUGGAGCUAGGAUUUUUCUGAGUGCAAUGAACCAACUCCCGAGUCUCUAGGACGUUCCUAAAAAAAUUUGAUUUUUUCCCAUAGGAAUGCAUGGGUUAGGGUUAGGGUUAGGGUUGGAGCUAGGGUUAGGGUUAGGGUUAGGGUUGGAGUUAGGGUUAGUGUUGGAGCUAGGGUUAGGGUUGGGCUUGGAACUAGGACUUUUCUGAGUGCAAUGAACCAACUCCCGAGUCUCUAGGACGUUCCCUAAAAAAAUUUGAUUUUUUCCCAUAGGAAUGCAUGGGUUAGGGUUAGGGUUAGGGUUGGAGCUAGGGUUAGGGUUAGGGUUAGGGUUAGAGUUAGGGUUAGUGUUGGAGCUAGGGUUAGGGUUGGGCUUGGAGCUAGGAUUUUUCUGAGUGCACUGAACCAACUCCCGAGUCUCUAGGACGUUCCUAAAAAAAUUUGAUUUUUUCCCAUAGGAAUGCAUGGGUUAGGGUUAGGGUUAGGGUUGGAGCUAGGGUAAGGGUUAGGGUUAGGGUUGGAGUUAGGGUUAGUGUUGGAGCUAGGGUUAGGGUUGGGCUUGGAGCUAGGACUUUUCUGAGUGCAAUGAACCAACUCCCGAGUCUCUAGGACGUUCCCUAAUAAAAUUUGAUUUUUUCCCAUAGGAAUGCAUGGGUUAGGGUUAGGGUUAGGG